CAAUCCAUGAGUAAAGUGGCGCACGGGUGAGUAACACGUGACUAACCUACCCUGGAGUGGGGGAUAACUGAGGGAAACCUUAGCUAAUACCGCAUAACACCUACGGGUCAAAGGAGCAAUUCGCUUUGGGAGGGGGUCGCGGCAGAUUAGCUAGUUGGCGGGGUAAUGGCCCACCAAGGCAGUGAUCUGUAUCCGGCCUGAGAGGGCGCACGGACACACUGGAACUGAAACACGGUCCAGACUCCUACGGGAGGCAGCAGUGGGGAAUUUUGCGCAAUGGGGGAAACCCUGACGCAGCAACGCCGCGUGGAGGAUGAAGUCUCUUGGGACGUAAACUCCUUUCGAUCGGGAAGAUGAUGACGGUACCGAUAGAAGAAGCCCCGGCUAACUUCGUGCCAGCAGCCGCGGUAAU
rnacentral:rRNA from 1 species